CACAUUUUUUUUACCCAGACGACGUCGUGCAAACACCCUCCCUCCCCCCAACCAAAAUCCCUCAUCCCCCCAACUUUCCCCAUUCCCUCGUAAGUUCCCCCCAAAUUUCCCCAAUCCUUUAGCUCGUAAGUUCCUAAGUUAGGGUUAAAAAAAUAAGAGAACUGGCCAAGCCUUCUUUCCUGCCCAGCCACGCACCCUCCUCCCCUCUCUCGUCGUGCAAAACCCAGUCGCCGGUCACCAGCUUCGAAGCCCACUAUCCGUUGUCGUCUUGCUCCAACCCGUGAAGCUGGGCAUCAGCUUCGCUUUGCCCACCAUCCGUCAUUGGCGUCCGUUGGGUCUUCCUGGAGCUUGUCUCGGAGCCUCAAACCCGUCGCCAUUCGUGUCAUCGUUGUGGAAGCCUCAAAGCUCUCCCCAAAUCUGCAAAUUGCCAGCUUCACGGGUCUGGUGUACAAAGCCCUCAAAGCUCUUCGUAUCAGCACUCACUCACUCCAUUGAGUAUUCCAAAAGUUGGUCUUGUUAUAUUCUCCAGCACUACAAAACUUUAUGAAUAUGCAAACACAAGGAUUAUUUUUUUGGACUGGUAAAGACAAAAGGAGUUGACUAGUUAUUGUGGCACAGUGUAUAACAACUUCAAAUGGCAUCUCAAAAUAAAGGAACUAAGCACAGGAAGACAUGAUGUGAUGAAGAAAAUAUGUUCCAUACAUAUAUGACAUGGGAUGAGUCUUACAAUGACUUUAGUUAUGUAAAUGUAAUAUUUUGAUAUGUUCUGUACUUUUUGAGGUAUUACAUGUAAUUGGAUAAAUUGCAUUCUAUUUUGAUUUGUGUUGUUUAGAGUAAAAAUUAAACAUAUGUAUCUUAUAAUGAAACUUUUAUAAUUUAGAUUUCUUGAGUUUCUUA